AUGAGAAGGGAAUAUAAUAACCCGUGGGUCUGUGCGGGUGACUUUAGUGAAGUUUUGCAUGCCUCCGAGCAACUAGGUGGUAAUGAGAGGCAGGAGUGGAAGAUGGAGGGGAUAGCAACAUCAAGGUCCGGCUUGGGCUACUUUGGCUACCUUACACUUGGGACAAUAGACAACAAGGGGAUAGCAACAUCAAGGUCCGGCUUGACCGAGCUUUGGGGGAUGAUAGAUUUGCGGAGUGUUUUGAUAAUACAGUGGUUAACCAUGUCCAGUGCGCCAAAUCUGACCACUGUGCUCUCCUCAUCUCUUAGGAAGUCUGAAUGGUUGGAGGAAGCAAGGGAAGGUAGACCUUUUCGAUUCGAGAAUGCUUGGACUCGACAUGAUCGGUAUACACAAGUAGUAGAGGAUUCGUGGCACGUUAAUACUAGUAAUCUGCAAGGGAUAAGUGAAGCUUUGGGUGGGGUGCGGCAGAGACUACAAAAUUGGAGCAAAUCUAGGUUUGGAUCGGUGAAAAGACAGUUGAAAUCCCUUCGGGCUCGGCUGGAGUAUGUUCGACAAAAUUUGCUUCUAUCUGGACCGUGCAGAGAGGAGAUGGAACUCAUGGCCAGAAUUGUAGAGUUGCUAUCUAGGGAGGAAGCUUUGGAGAAACAGCGUUCAAGAGCCCUUUGGCUAGCUGCUGGAGAUUGCAAUACGUCUUUUUUCAGGCCAAGGCUAAGGAACGUGCACGUAUUAACAAAAUUAAGUCACUGA
rnacentral:rRNA from 1 species